rnacentral:snRNA from 1 species
CAGCUUUUGUCUGGUACUGCUUUAAACAAAAUGAUGCAAUAUUAAAGUAGAGUUCUAGCAUGUCCCCUGAGCAAGGAUGACAUGCAAAUUAGUAAAGUGUUUCAUAUUUCA